UUGGUUCCGGCAUCGAUGAAGAACGCAGCGAAAUGCGAUAACUAAUGUGAAUUGCAGAAUUCAGUGAAUCAUCGAGUCUUUGAACGCACAUUGCGCCCCCUGGUAUUCCGGGGGGCAUGCCUGUCCGAGCGUCAUUGCGUGCCCUC
rnacentral:rRNA from 1 species